AAAUUGAAGAGUUUGAUCAUGGCUCAGAUUGAACGCUGGCGGCAGGCCUAACACAUGCAAGUCGAACGGUAACAGGAAGCAGCUUGCUGCUUCGCUGACGAGUGGCGGACGGGUGAGUAAUGUCUGGGAAACUGCCUGAUGGAGGGGGAUAACUACUGGAAACGGUGGCUAAUACCGCAUAACGUCGCAAGACCAAAGAGGGGGACCUUCGGGCCUCUUGCCAUCAGAUGUGCCCAGAUGGGAUUAGCUAGUUGGUGAGGUAACGGCUCACCAAGGCGACGAUCCCUAGCUGGUCUGAGAGGAUGACCAGCCACACUGGAACUGAGACACGGUCCAGACUCCUACGGGAGGCAGCAGUGGGGAAUAUUGCACAAUGGGCGCAAGCCUGAUGCAGCCAUGCCGCGUGUAUGAAGAAGGCCUUCGGGUUGUAAAGUACUUUCAGCGGGGAGGAAGGUGUUGUGGUUAAUAACCGCAGCAAUUGACGUUACCCGCAGAAGAAGCACCGGCUAACUCCGUGCCAGCAGCCGCGGUAAUACGGAGGGUGCAAGCGUUAAUCGGAAUUACUGGGCGUAAAGCGCACGCAGGCGGUCUGUCAAGUCGGAUGUGAAAUCCCCGGGCUCAACCUGGGAACUGCAUUCGAAACUGGCAGGCUUGAGUCUUGUAGAGGGGGGUAGAAUUCCAGGUGUAGCGGUGAAAUGCGUAGAGAUCUGGAGGAAUACCGGUGGCGAAGGCGGCCCCCUGGACAAAGACUGACGCUCAGGUGCGAAAGCGUGGGGAGCAAACAGGAUUAGAUACCCUGGUAGUCCACGCCGUAAACGAUGUCUACUUGGAGGUUGUGCCCUUGAGGCGUGGCUUCCGGAGCUAACGCGUUAAGUAGACCGCCUGGGGAGUACGGCCGCAAGGUUAAAACUCAAAUGAAUUGACGGGGGCCCGCACAAGCGGUGGAGCAUGUGGUUUAAUUCGANGGCCCGCACAAGCGGUGGAGCAUGUGGUUUAAUUCGAUGCAACGCGAAGAACCUUACCUGGUCUUGACAUCCACAGAACUUUCCAGAGAUGGAUUGGUGCCUUCGGGAACUGUGAGACAGGUGCUGCAUGGCUGUCGUCAGCUCGUGUUGUGAAAUGUUGGGUUAAGUCCCGCAACGAGCGCAACCCUUAUCCUUUGUUGCCAGCGAUUAGGUCGGGAACUCAAAGGAGACUGCCAGUGAUAAACUGGAGGAAGGUGGGGAUGACGUCAAGUCAUCAUGGCCCUUACGACCAGGGCUACACACGUGCUACAAUGGCGCAUACAAAGAGAAGCGACCUCGCGAGAGCAAGCGGACCUCAUAAAGUGCGUCGUAGUCCGGAUUGGAGUCUGCAACUCGACUCCAUGAAGUCGGAAUCGCUAGUAAUCGUGGAUCAGAAUGCCACGGUGAAUACGUUCCCGGGCCUUGUACACACCGCCCGUCACACCAUGGGAGUGGGUUGCAAAAGAAGUAGGUAGCUUAACCUUCGGGAGGGCGCUUACCACUUUGUGAUUCAUGACUGGGGUGAAGUCGUAACAAGGUAACCGUAGGGGAACCUGCGGUUGGAUCACCUCCUUACCUUAAAGAA
rnacentral:rRNA from 1 species